AGACAUUAAUCUUAAGUAUCCAGGGAGCCCUAAAACAUUGUAUCCCACUAGCAAGGACCAUGGUAAUUGCCACGUAAAUCACCUCCAUAAUGUGGCCCUUAUUAUGACCAGCUAGCCCAGGCUUGCCUUUAAAUCAUACCAAUUGAACUGAGCCUUGUAGAAACACCAUCACCUACACAUACCUCUGCUUCUUUUCAUUAACCUGUUAUCCUCUUUACAAAUGGUAUUCUUCACCCACUCCCUUCUUCCAGAUUAGCAAUGCCCUGUUAAGUAAACGAACAUGAAAUUCAAAGGGAAACAGGAACAAUAAUCAUUACCAGCUGCCGUGUUAAGCAUUGUGAAAACGCUCACGAUUCACAGAAAAAUCCAUGCUGUUCUUUGAAGGCAUUCAAGCCUUAAUAGCUAGCUGGAUGAAUGUUUAACUUCUAGGCCAGGCACUACUCUGUCCCAACAAUAAGCCCUGUACAUUGGGAAAGGUGCCGAAGACAUGAACUUUGGUCUUCUCUGCAAUCCCUCUGGAGCAUUCAGUGACAACGUCGACUUUGAAGUUGCACUGACCUGGCCAGCCCUGCCACUUACCAGGUUGGAUUGCAAACUCCUAGAGAAGGGCUCAACAGUGAGUGUUGAGGCUGCACAGAGGAGGAAGGUAGCACAAUGAUGGAAGGCUUCCUAAAGAGAUAACACUAACAAAGUUGACCUUAGAAUUGGAGUGCCCGGGUUAGAACCUUGCUGGUACCACCUGCUUACUGCAUGCUUCUGAUGUGAGUUCAGGAGAAGCCACUGGCAAGGACAGCAAAGAACAGGAGAACACUCUAGCUUCCCUGAUAGCAUUCAAGGUGCUGUCCAAACUGACUGUGAUGGCACCCUCCAGACAGACAGCGAUGCCACAUGUUCAAGAUGGCAGAAUCACUAACAGCUUCAAUUCCUGAAUGACUGCAGAGCAAAAUUUCUUACCCGCAACAUACACUCUAUUUUCAGCCUCCCUGGACUGUUACAUAAUGAUACAUAAAAAUAUUUCUUGUGUUGAGGCAUCCCAAAUUUGAUCUAUUUGUCAUCACAGUUUAUCCUACGAAUAUAUUUCUGAUCCAAAUAAUGCUAGAUUCAUGAGAGUUUAUAGUCCAGAGAUUUUUUUUUUUUUUUUUUUUUGAGACAGAAUCUCACUGUCUGCCAGGCUGGGGUGCAGUGGCAUAAUCUUAGCUCACUGCAACCUCCGCCUCCUGGGCUCAAGUGAUCCUCCCUCCUUAGCCUCCAUGAAUAGCUGGGACCACAGGUGUGCACCACCCCACCCAGCUAAUUAUUUUGUAUUUUUUGCAGAGACGGGGUUUCACCACAUUGCCCAAGCUGGUCUCAAACUCCUAGACUUAAGGGAUCUUCCCGCCUUGGCCUCCCAAAAUGCUGAAAUUACAUGUGUUAGCCAUAGUAAUAGUUCCUAGCCAUAGUCCAGAGAUAUUUUAAAAACUUUAGUGUGAGUUAUUUCUCUUUGCUAUAAUUCUCUCAUGCAUUUUGAAAACCUUUUCUGCCAUACAGUGGUUUUUGGGAAGUCCUUUUGGACAGACAUAUCACAGGAUGGAGAAACUAAAAAGAGAGAGAAUGCAUUAAAGAAAAAAUAGUACUUCAUAUUUCAGAAAUUACAAAAGGUUGUCAUGCCCCACAGCAUGGUGGGCAGUCAUUUGUAACCCACAGAACAUUGAGUUUCUAAAAUUUGAGUGUUUUUUAACUUACGAAGGCCAACUUUACUGAUGAAGUGGUUACCCCAAAUAUGUGAAAUCCAUAUUUCAAGCACAAUAGCAGGAAAUCGGAAAUGGGUAGGUAUAUUUCUGACUGUCAAAGAGUACAAAGUAAAGAGGGGCCCCUGAAGAGUGACACUACUGGAAAAACAGAA
rnacentral:lncRNA from 1 species